rnacentral:rRNA from 1 species
GUGUCAGCCGCCGCGGUAAUACGAAGGGGGCUAGCGUUGCUCGGAAUUACUGGGCGUAAAGGGCGCGUAGGCGGCCGAUCAAGUCAGGCGUGAAAUUCCUGGGCUCAACCUGGGGGCUGCGCUUGAGACUGGUUGGCUAGAGGCCGAGAGAGGGUGGUGGAAUUCCCAGUGUAGAGGUGAAAUUCGUAGAUAUUGGGAAGAACACCGGUGGCGAAGGCGGCCACCUGGCUCGGUACUGACGCUGAGGCGCGACAGCGUGGGGAGCAAACAGGAUUAGAUACCCUGGUAGUCCACGCCGUAAACGAUGUGCGCUGAAUGUUGGGGUUCCUAGAACCUCAGUGUUGUAGCUAACGCGGUAAGCGCACCGCCUGGGGAGUACGGCCGCAAGGUUGAA